GCAAUGAAGGAUUUCGGCCCACGAAAAUCUGCCAUUCAGAUUUGUCAAUCUUUCCGUCCUGAUUUGUGUCUGCCUCAACAAAAGUCUACAUGUAGAGGCAAGACUCUAUGGUUAUUCAGAAUUCCAUGAGAUCGAUAACAACAGAAACUAGUCCUGUGAAUGAAAACUGCCCUUAUUUUAAUCUUGAAACUACCAAUCUCUCAGUGACAUAGAGGCAAGAAUCUACGGUUAUUCAGAAUUCCAUGAGAUCGAUAAAAACAAGAAACUAGUCCUGUGAAACUGCCCUUAUUUUAAUCUUGAAGCUACCAAUCUCUCAGUGACACAAAAUGCAUU
rnacentral:lncRNA from 1 species